GUGGGGAAUCUUGCGCAAUGGGCGAAAGCCUGACGCAGCCAUGCCGCGUGAAUGAUGAAGGUCUUAGGAUUGUAAAAUUCUUUCACCGGGGACGAUAAUGACGGUACCCGGAGAAGAAGCUCCGGCUAACUUCGUGCCAGCAGCCGCGGUAAUACGAAGGGGGCUAGCGUUGCUCGGAAUUACUGGGCGUAAAGGGCGCGUAGGCGGACAGCUUAGUCAGAGGUGAAAGCCCAGGGCUCAACCUUGGAAUUGCCUUUGAUACUGGCUGUCUUGAGUUUGGGAGAGGUGAGUGGAACUCCGAGUGUAGAGGUGAAAUUCGUAGAUAUUCGGAAGAACACCAGUGGCGAAGGCGACUCACUGGCCCAAUACUGACGCUGAGGUGCGAAAGCGUGGGGAGCAAACAGGAUUAGAAACCCGAGUAGUCC
rnacentral:rRNA from 1 species